rnacentral:rRNA from 1 species
CUGACCGAGCAUACUACGUGAAGGAAGAAGGUCUACGGAUUGUAAACUUCUUUACUAGAGGGUACUGACGUAUGGAUUGCCCUUUAGCAAAAAGCCACGACUAACUACGUGCCAGCAGUCGCGGUAAGACGUAGGUGGCGAACGUUAUCCGGAAUCAUUGGGCGUAAAGGGUGCGUAGGCGGUAAGAUAAGUUAUUGGCGGGAAAUCGAGGCUCAACCUCGUGGAAACUGAUAAUACUGUCUCGCUUGAGUGCAGGAGAGGUUAACGGAAUUCUUUGUGGAGGGGUAAAAUCCAAAGAUAUAAAGGAGAACAUCAAUAACGGCAAAGGCAGUUAACUAUUCUGUUACUGACGCUGAGGCACGAAAGCGUGGGGAGCAAAACGGAUUAGAUACCCGUGUAGUCCACGCCCUAAACGAUGAGUACUAGAUAUUGGGAACUUGAUUCUCAGUGUCGCUAGUUAACACAUUAAGUACUCCGCCUGGGUAGUACAGUCGCAAGGCCGAAACUC